rnacentral:rRNA from 1 species
UACGUAGGGUGCGAGCGUUGUCCGGAAUUAUUGGGCGUAAAGGGCUCGUAGGCGGUUUGUCGCGUCGGGAGUGAAAACUCAGGGCUUAACCCUGAGCCUGCUUCCGAUACGGGCAGACUAGAGGUAUGCAGGGGAGAACGGAAUUCCUGGUGUAGCGGUGAAAUGCGCAGAUAUCAGGAGGAACACCGGUGGCGAAGGCGGUUCUCUGGGCAUUACCUGACGCUGAGGAGCGAAAGCGUGGGGAGCAAACCGG